rfam:Pteropus alecto contig170123, whole genome shotgun sequence.
GGCUCCUUAGUGUAGUGGUUAGCACGUCUGCUUUACACGCAGAAGGUCCUGGGUUUGCGCCCCAGAUGGAGCCA